GAUGAACGCUAGCGACAGGCUUAACACAUGCAAGUCGAGGGGCAGCACAGGUAGCAAUACCGGGUGGCGACCGGCGCACGGGUGAGUAACGCGUAUGCAACUUACCUAUCAGAGGGGGAUAACCCGGCGAAAGUCGGACUAAUACCGCAUGAAGCAGGGGUCCCGCAUGGGGAUAUUUGCUAAAGAUUCAUCGCUGAUAGAUAGGCAUGCGUUCCAUUAGGCAGUUGGCGGGGUAACGGCCCACCAAACCGACGAUGGAUAGGGGUUCUGAGAGGAAGGUCAGACAGAUUGGUAAUGAGGCAAGGACCAAAAUACUGAGGGAGGCAGCAAUGAGGAAUAAUGGUCAAUGGCAGAGAGGCUGAAACAGCCAAGUCGCGUGAGGGAUGAAGGUUCUAUGGAUCGUAAACCUCUUUUAUAAGGGAAUAAAGUGCGGGACGUGUCCCGUUUUGUAUGUACCUUAUGAAUAAGGAUCGGCUAACUCCGU
rnacentral:rRNA from 1 species